GAUAAGUGCUGAAAGCAUCUAAGCACGAAACUUGCCCCGAGAUGAGUUCUCCCUGACU
rnacentral:rRNA from 1 species